AUGCUGUAUUUGGCCCUUUAUUUUACCAUCUGCAGCUUUUUGCAAAGCAGCUCUCAGUUGCCUUGCAAAACAUAAGCAUGUGCAGGCCAAAUUUUGGAAUAUGCACACACAAUGCCAUAUAGCUUUUAUUGCUAGUAAUUGCUGAUGGGGGACCCAUACAUGUUCUCCAUCUUAUUCUCAAACCCGUGAAAAGAUGGAGCUUUG
rnacentral:misc_RNA from 1 species